rnacentral:rRNA from 1 species
AUGCGGUGCCAACCGCAACUCCGCGCCAAAAUCCGCCUCCUCGACCCACCCGCGCCCCCCUCCACCGCCUGCGACGCCGGCCUACGCGCGCUGGGCCUCCUCGACUUCGUCCGCCUCGACCUCUGCUUCUCCGGCGCGUUGUGCCGCCAACACGUCGCAGAUCUUAUCGCUAACUACAGCGCGGAACACGGGCAGAGCUCCACGCAGAACGGCCGCAUCGAUGUCUGCUGCCGUACCUUCGCCAAGGCGCUCUGCCUCCCGCCCCCUGGGGCUGCGGCUGCGAGGACCGCGUCCUCCGAAGUGGACUCGGCCGCCGUCGCCUUCGCCGCGACGGAGUUCAUCAAGGCCUACAUCCUGACGCCGUUAGAGGCAGGCAGCGGCUGGAAUAGCAGGGCCCGCACGAGGGCACAGAUGGUGGUGAUGGAUGGGAAGGCGCAUACUUUUGACUGGACCGCGCUGAUCUGGAGCCUCGUGGAGGAAGAGAUGUUCGAGCUUAGGAAAGGGACGAGGUCCCGCUCGGCAUGCUACUACGGCGCCUACCUGCAGAAGCUCGUCUUGGUGAAGUGGCCGACUCUUUUCCGGCCGCCGCCCAAGUCGUCAUUGGGUGCACAACACAAGAAGCCCUCCGCAAUCAGCGGGGGAAACAAGCGGUUAACAACCAGUGAGCUGGAUUCCAAGUGCAAGAUGCAAGAACUUUUUGGUGCGAGAUCUAUGCAGACACAGACUGCAGCGCUAGCUACCCUAAACAAGCUUGAUAGAAAGAACCUUGAGCAAGACAAAGAAAAGUUGCAUUCGACCAAGUCACUCAACGAUGCUGUAGUUACCCCCAAAAGGAAAAAGAACGAUGAGUUGCAGCACCCAGAGCUGGAUCCGGAGAUGAAAAAGGAUCUCGAUGCAAAAACAAUGCAGCCCGAAGCAAGAUCUGCGGAGUUUGAUGCGAGACCCAUGCAGACAGAGCUUGCACCGCUAGCUACCCUGAAAGAGCUCGAUAGAAGGAACCUUGAGCAAGACAAUGAAAACCUGGAUUCAACGAGUCGCUCAACAAGGCUGUAG